GACGAACGCUGGCGGCGUGCCUAAUACAUGCAAGUAGAACGCUGAAGAGAGGAGCUUGCUCUUCUUGGAUGAGUUGCGAACGGGUGAGUAACGCGUAGGUAACCUGCCUGGUAGCGGGGGAUAACUAUUGGAAACGAUAGCUAAUACCGCAUGAAAUGGAUUAUCGCAUGAUAAUCGAUUGAAAGGUGCAAAUGCAUCACUACCAGAUGGACCUGCGUUGUACUAGCUAGUUGGUGAGGUAACGGCUCACCAAGGCAACGAUACAUAGCCGACCUGAGAGGGUGAUCGGCCACACUGGGACUGAGACACGGCCCAGACUCCUACGGGAGGCAGCAGUAGGGAAUCUUCGGCAAUGGACGGAAGUCUGACCGAGCAACGCCGCGUGAGUGAAGAAGGUUUUCGGAUCGUAAAGCUCUGUUGUAAGAGAAGAACGAGUGUGAGAGUGGAAAGUUCACACUGUGACG
rnacentral:rRNA from 1 species